ACUCCAUCCAUUGGCGUGAAACAUCGGCAACGUCCAUAAAUAAACCGAUUGCUUAGGAACUCCCCAUUCAAUAAGCGAAUCAAGCGUUACUGUGAAAAUUCCUCUAUGACUAUGAACCACUCCCUUCGGCGAUGAUGUCGUUCCAGAAGUAUAGUUCAUAACAAUCGGAUCCCACUCACUCACUGGCCGAAUCCACCCAAACUCAGGAUCCCCUUUCUGAACCAUUUCCUCAUACGAAUCCACAAACGGAACAGAGGAAGACGAUGACGAAGGGGAAUCCUCCACCGCGGUAUCGUCAGCGAUGAGGACGAGCAGGGGUUGUUUGGUCUCCGGCGGCAACAACGCCAAGGCAUCAGAGAUUAAGCCACAAGAGGCUUGAUCAACGAAGAUGAGUUUGGAUUCACUAUGGGAGAGGAGAACAGAGAUGGUUCGUGCAUCAAGGCGGAGAUUGAUACAGUUGAGGAUGGCACCGACCAUCGGAACAGCGAACUGGAGUUCGUACAUCGCGGGAGUAUUGGGGGAAAGGACGGAGACGACAUGGCCUUUCUGGAUGCCAAUGGAAGAAAGGGAGGAAGCGAUUCGAAGACAUCGACGAUAAGUUUGGGACCAGGUGUAGGUGAUGGAGUUGUAGAUGAUGGAGGGAGAAUCAGCAUAGAUGAGAGAAGCUCUUUCAAGGAAACCAAUUGGAGUUAGGGGAGAGGAAUUAGCAGGACAUGGCUUCAAAUCCUCCAUUGAAAUUGAUAGGGAUAUAUUCG
rnacentral:misc_RNA from 1 species